AGUCUGCAACCCGACUCCACGAAGCUGGAUUCGCUAGUAAUCGCGCAUCAGCCACGGCGCGGUGAAUACGUUCCCGGGCCUUGUACACACCGCCCGUCAAGCCAUGGGAGCCGGGGGUACCUGAAGUGCGUAACCGCGAGGAUCGCCCUAGGGUAAAACUGGUGACGUGGGGCUAAGUCGUAACAAGGUAUC
rnacentral:rRNA from 1 species